UACGUAGGUGGCAAGCGAUACUCGGAAUCACUAGGCGUAAAGCGCAGGUAGGAGGUUGGAUAAGUCUCUUGUGAAAGCUCCCGGCUUAACUGGGAGAGGUCAAGGGAAACUGUUCAGCUAGAGUGUGGUAGAGGUAGAUGGAAUUCCCGGUGUAGCGGUGAAAUGCGUAGAUAUCGGGAGGAAUACCUAUGGCGAAAGCAGUCUACUGGACCAUCACUGACUCUGAUCUGCGAAAGCUAGGGGAGCAAACAGGAUUAGAUACCCUGGUAGUCCUAGCCCUAAACGAUGCUCAUUAGGUGUGGGAGGUAUCGACCCCUUCCGCGCCGUAGCUAACGCAUUAAAUGAGCCGCCUGGGGAGUACGGCCGCAAGGUUGAA
rnacentral:rRNA from 1 species